GGCACGAUGGCAGGCCCAGUGAGACCUCAUCAGGUGACAGGAAGCAUGCUAGAGGAGUCUCAUGUCUCUACCAGUUCAGUGCUGAAGCAGCCCGUGGCAAAGCAUCCACCCGUACUGUCCUCCACCGCAGGACAGGACAAGCUGGCCUAGUACCCCAGCAGUUCCUGAGGUCAGCAGGACUUUCUAUACAAAGGGCUCUGCAGAUCCGUUCUGUAAAUCUGCCUGCCACCAGUGCAAGCCUGGCAGUUCCAAGAGAAAAGCCUAUUUUCCUGCCAAGAAUGAACAAAGGUGGCCAUGUCUGGGAACAGUUGAACAGUAAGUCCUUUUCUCCCUGCAGGUCUGAGGCGACCUUGGCCAAUCUCUGCCAUGUGUGCUCAAAACAAAGGGACAAGGGCAGCAUGGGGAAGACAGAUGGGACCAGGCUGCCACACCUGUCUGGCUAAAGGCAGCUGGCAGAUGUUCAGUACCCAAAGCAGUUUCUAGCACUACAAAGCAUUCAGAUGUGUUGCUUUAAGGCUGCUGAUCACUGGUAAGGAAAAUCAAAUGGUUAGUGUAUGCUUGUUGUGUCCCUUUGUUGUUUUCUCGGAUAUAAGCAUGCCUGACCUUCUUAUGAAUUAGUCAAAUACAUUUCUCUAGUAGAGGACUUAAAAUUCACAGUGCUCCUUGUAAAACCAUUAAUAAUUGCUACAUUAAAUGUCAUCAUGCAAGCCAGUGACAUUUUUCCUCAGACAAACAGACCAGGUACUUCAGAUUUUAGACUGUUUAACAAAACUGCAAGAGUACAGAAAAGUAUGAAAUGAUGAACAAAUAUGUCCUUCCUGUAUUGCCACCCACACCACUUCCCUGAG
rnacentral:lncRNA from 1 species